rnacentral:rRNA from 1 species
GACGGGACCCGCACAAGCGGUGGAUGAUGUGGUUUAAUUCGAUGCAACGCGAAAACCUUACCCACCUUUGACAUGUACGGAAUCCUUUAGAGAUAGAGGAGUGCUCGAAAGAGAGCCGUAACACAGGUGCUGCAUGGCUGUCGUCAGCUCGUGUCGUGAGAUGUUGGGUUAAGUCCCGCAACGAGCGCAACCCUUGUCAUUAGUUGCUACGAAAGGGCACUCUAAUGAGACUGCCGGUGACAAACCGGAGGAAGGUGGGGAUGACGUCAAGUCCUCAUGGCCCUUAUAGGUGGGGCUACACACGUCAUACAAUGGCUGGUACAAAGGGUUGCCAACCCGCGAGGGGGAGCCAAUCCCAUAAAGCCAGUCGUAGUCCGGAUCGCAGUCUGCAACUCGACUGCGUGAAGUCGGAAUCGCUAGUAAUCGUGGAUCAGCAUGUCGCGGUGAAUACGUUCCCGGGUCUU